AGCAGCCGCGGUAAUUCCAGCUCCAAUAGCGUAUAUUAAAGUUGUUGCAGUUAAAAAGCUCGUAGUUGAAUUUCGGGAUCAAAUUGUCGGUCGUGCCUCGGUACGCACUGGCGUUAUUGGUUCCUCCCUUCUGAAGAACCGCGAUGUCAUUAAUUUGGUGUCGCGGGGAAUCAGGACUGUUACUUUGAAAAAAUUAGAGUGUUUAAAGCAGGCUCGCGCUUGAAUACAUUAGCAUGGAAUAAUGAAAUAGGACGUUUGAUUCUAUUUUGUUGGUUUCUAGGAUCGACGUAAUGAUUAAUAGGGAUAGUUGGGGGCAUUAGUAUUCAAUUGUCAGAGGUGAAAUUCUUGGAUUUAUUGAAGACUAACUACUGCGAAAGCAUUUGCCAAGGAUGUUUUCAUUAAUCAAGAACGAAAGUUAGGGGAUCGAAGACGAUCAGAUACCGUCGUAGUCUUAACCAUAAACUAUGCCGACUAGGGAUCGGAUGAUGUUAAUUUUUAAUGACUCAUUCGGCGCCUUACG
rnacentral:rRNA from 1 species